rnacentral:rRNA from 1 species
AUUGAACGCUGGCGGAAUGCUUUACACAUGCAAGUCGAACGGCAGCACGGGGGCAACCCUGGUGGCGAGUGGCGAACGGGUGAGUAAUACAUCGGAACGUGCCCAGUCGUGGGGGAUAACUACGCGAAAGCGUGGCUAAUACCGCAUACGAUCUAGGGAUGAAAGCGGGGGACCGCAAGGCCUCGCGCGACUGGAGCGGCCGAUGGCAGAGUAGGUAGUUGGUGGGGUAAAGGCCUACCAAGCCGACGAUCUGUAGCUGGUCUGAGAGGACGACCAGCCACACUGGGACUGAGACACGGCCCAGACUCCUACGGGAGGCAGCAGUGGGGAAUUUUGGACAAUGGGCGCAAGCCUGAUCCAGCCAUUCCGCGUGCAGGAUGAAGGCCCUCGGGUUGUAAACUGCUUUUGUACGGAACGAAAAGGUGCUCUCUAAUACAGGGCGCUCAUGACGGUACCGUAAGAAUAAGCACCGGCUAACUACGUGCCAGCAGCCGCGGUAACAC